GCAUAAAAACCUGUUAAAUGGCCUGGCUAAAUGGUGCCUGUCAAUUUGACCGAUUCAAAAUUAAAUAUUUCAUUUUCAUUGGUCCAUCAGCUAUGGUACUUCCCUAACAUAUAGUGAUUGUAUGUUGUCAAAUCAUGUGACCAAGAAGACGGCAGAGUACUAGUAUAAAUACUCUUUCCGCCCAAUAGGGAAUUAUCUCCGCUAGCAAAAGUUUUAAGUCAACUACUACGUACAGUACCAACAGUGUGGACAUCAAGAUGAGGUUUUGGCUUGUUGCAGCAUUCCUCUUGUUGUUUGUUGUUCAAGAGUCUAUUGAACUUGAAUGUCAAACUAAUGCAGAUUGUGUGGCAGGAAAUUACUGCUUUGGCUGCCCCAGCCAACAUGUGGAGCCAACUUGUGUGAUGCCAACCACAGGGAAUUGUCAGUGUAAAUACUGCAACCGAUAAAUCACAAUUUGGCCAGUUUCACUUUCAAGCAUAAAGACUAGGUUAAAUUUGCCAUGCGAUGUCCACAUGACGCUCC